rnacentral:lncRNA from 1 species
UUUAUUCUUUACUAAUUGAAGUAAUAUCAUUUUUUUCAUUUCAGUUUUGAUAUGAUUAUGUACUUACUGAUCAUCUUCAUUACUUCAAAGAGAAUAUUUAGAAUUUUUUUUACUUUUACUAGGCAAUUGUGCAAGCAACACUUACCACACUUUAAAGUAAAAAAACCUGUCAUGUGAAAUUAGGACUUUUAGUCCCUAGACUGGCCCAGAUAUUACAUUAUUUACAUUGCUGUCUAAUUCUCAAAUCAGCUUUCUUUUGAAAAGUGGUUACUAUGCUUCUGUUUUAGAAAGAAUGGAAUAAACUAAAGUAGGAGGGGAAAAAUGAACAUAAAGGCAAGAGUACUCCAUGCAGUCUACACAAAGCACUUGCCGGUGGUGCAACUUCCUAGGAAGCCACAGGUUUGUUUCUGAAUAUCCUAGCAACUAAAACAAAGGAGGAAACAUCCUUUUAUUGAGCAAUUCAUUAUGUCUGUGACAAAGCUGUUAAUUCUUUUUUGGUUUCUCAAGACAAGGUUUCUCUGAGCAGCCGUAGCUGUUCUGGCACUCGCUUUGUAGACCAGGUUGGCCUUGAACCCAGAAACCAGUUUGCCUCUGCCUCUUGAGUACUAGGAUUAAAGCCACCACUCCCCUUUCUUAAGAAUCGUACUUAGGUUGGUAUGUGUAUGUGUGUACCUUUUGGUUUUUGUUUUGUUUUGUUUUUUCUGGUACUAGGGACCAAACCCGGGUGCAUGUUGGGGAAGGUCCACUCACUGUGGAUUACAUUCCCAGCUCUAGUUCUUUCAUUUUGAUUAUGGAAGAAAUGCUUUUUAUAAAGACUUUGUUUAAAAUGGUGAGUAAUGUUCUCAACAUUGACAUUGUGGAACCAUGGGGUUUGCUGACUUAAUGCCAUGUAGCAAUCUAAGAAGGACAAAAUUUUGUCCACUAGGAGGAAGAAGACUCUGAGUGUUUAAUACAGGAAAGAACCUAUAGAAUAAAUAUCAGGAGGGAGUGAGGAAAUGUAAAUAGAAGAUGUGUACCUUACUAAGCAUUAAAUUCCAAAUUCCUGUGUGUACCCGAACUUUAAGCUUUAUGUUGCUGGUUCAUUUAUGUACUCAUGCUUCAUUUGUAUUGAAUUGAGAUUUAAUUUUUUAUAUCAAAAUUAAAUGGUAAAAUUUAAAUC